rnacentral:rRNA from 1 species
AACGAACGCUGGCGGCGUGCCUAACACAUGCAAGUCGAACGGAAUGAGGGGCUUGCUCCUCAUUUAGUGGCGCACGGGUGAGUAACGCGUAGAUAAUCUGCCUGAUGAUCUGGGAUAACAUUUCGAAAGAGGUGCUAAUACCGGAUAAGCCCACGACGGCCUUGGUCGACGCGGGAAAAGGGGGGACCAUUUGGCCUUCUGUCAUCAGAUGAGUCUGCGUACCAUUAGCUAGUUGGUAGGGUAAAGGCCUACCAAGGCGACGACGGGUAGCUGGUCUGAGAGGAUGAUCAGCCACACUGGCACUGGAACACGGGCCAGACUCCUACGGGUGGCUG